rfam:Phaseolus vulgaris cultivar G19833 chromosome 7, whole genome shotgun sequence.
UCACCAGUUAAGGCCCCUAAAUGACCGCUCAGUGAUAAAGGAGGUAAGGGUGCAGAGACAACCAGGAGGUUUGCCUAGAAGUAGUCACCCUUGAAAGAGUGCGUAAUAGCUCACUGAUCGAGCACUCUUACGCCGAAGAUGAACGGGAUUAAGCGAUCUGUCGAAGCUGUGG